rnacentral:tRNA from 1 species
GGAUUGUGGCUCAGCGGUAGAGCACUCACCUAGCAUGCGUGGGGCCCUGGGUUCGAUCCUCAGCACCA